UUAACACUUCAUGACUGAGAGCUGCUACAGCAACUUCUUCACCCACAGCAGCCAUGACUUUAAUCCCCAUCUUCAUCUGGACCCUGAUCUUCUGCUCUCAAGAGUCCAUAGGUCAGGUGACUGUGACUCAGAGUCCUGCAGUGAAAUCUGCUCUUCCAGGAGACUCCGUCACCAUCAGCUGCAGGACCAGUCCUCAGGUGUAUCAGGGCUGGAGUUUUCAGCCUCUUUAUUGGUAUCAGCAGAAACCUGGAGAAGCUCCUAAACUUCUGAUCAUUAAAGCCUCAGAGCUUCAGUCUGGUUUUGCAGUUCGUUUCAGUGGUAGUGGAUCUGGAUCUGACUUCACUCUGACCAUCAGUGGAGUCCAGCCUGAAGAUGCUGCAGAUUAUUACUGUCAGAGUCUUCAUUCUGUCAGUGGCUGGGUGUUCACACAGUGAUAUAACGCCGUACAAAAACCUCCGUCACUCAGUCCGGCUGCACAGAGACUGCACUGCUGCAGUGGGAUCUCCUGCAGGUGCUGAGUUGGAGGAAGUGAAACAGCACAAUCACACACACACACACACACA